AUUAUGGGACAAUGGGGGCAACCCUGAUCCAGUCAUCCCGCGUGUGUGAAGAGAGCCUUCCGAUUGUAAAGUACUGUAACCUGGGAGGACUGGCUUUAGGGUAAUACACUGAAGUUUUGACGUUACCAACAGAACAAGCACCGGCUAACUCUGUGCCAGCAGCCGCGGUAAUACAGAGGGUGCAAGCGUGAAACGGAAGUACUGGGCGUAAAGCGCGCGUAGGUGGUUCAGUAAGAUGGGUGUGAAAUCCCCGGGCUUAACCUGGGAACUGCUUUCAUAACUGCUGAGCUAGAGUACGGUAGAGGGUAGUGGAAUUUCCUGUGUAGCGGUGAAAUGCGUAGAUAUAGGAAGGAACACCAGUGGCGAAGGCGACUACCUGGACUGAUACUGACACUGAGAUGCGAAAGCGUGGGGAGCAAAC
rnacentral:rRNA from 1 species